ensembl:lncRNA
AUGAGUUCCAUCUUCGAAGCUAGACUUCCUGACUUUGGAUUUGAUUCUUAGCUAUUUAUGGUCUCAAUUUCUUAAUUUGAAAAAAAAAAAUCAUAUUAGUCAACUAAAUUUUUUUCUCAACAAUUCUAUGACUUUUAAGAACCUCAUAAGCCUCAAAUUCAGUAUAGUUAUAAUAUAUAGGUGCCCAUUUUCCUGUGUUCAAUUUUGAAGGUUAUAAUUGAUAAACAAGGGCCUCUGUGGAUUCUUUACCAUCUGAACCACCAGGAAAGCCCAACAUAUAUAUAACAAGCAGUAAAAUGCUGGAAAUAAAUCUGCCUAUAAUGCAGAUUUAUUUGCAUUAAACAACCAAUGCAAAAAAAUUUAGUUGACUUCUGAUUUUUUUUCAAAUUAAAAAAUUGAGACCAUAAAUAGCUAUAUUCACAAUUGUAUUAUAACUCUUUGAUCUUUUGUCUUUGAUUGCUAAUUGGUGUACCACAGUUUCUACACCAAAGAAUUUCCUUUAUAGUGUCCUGCUUACCACUGUUGUGUUCAUUAUCUUGAUUAGCUAAUAUUGGUUCUUUAUUAACAUCUUUAUAAGAGAGAGUGUCAAGAAGCCAGCAUGUAGCCGUAGUGUCUGUGAAGAAGCCAGUGUUUACCACCAAAGUCUUUAAAGCUGGUGACUAAUAAAUUUCAAAAGUGAAGGACUCAGACUGAAAAAUAUUUGAAAGGAACAUUGCUUAAGUCUCCAGUAGACCAAGUAAAAAGCACCCUUUUUGAAGCAUUUCUCUUCGCUUUGAACCUUUAUUGAUUUAUCUGGUAAACUCAGCAGCAAUGCAUUCAUCUAGUGCUUUCUUGAUUGCUUCUCUUUCUUAUUGACCAUUCUAAAGCCCAUGUGUCAAGGUUUUGGCUGAGUCAUUUAAUGAUUCUUAAUAUUUCUUUAUUAAGUAAAAUUAAAAUCAGUGUGCUAUGCUGUGUUGUACUUAAGUCACUCAGUUGUGUCCGAAUCUUUGUGACCCCAUGGACUGUAGCCCACCAGGCACCUCUGUCCGAGGUGAUUCUCCAGGCAAGAAUAAUGGAAUGGGUUGCCAUGCCCUCCUCCAGGAGAUUUUCCCAACCCAGGGAUCAAACCCAGGGCUCCACCGUUGCAGGCAGAUUCUUUACUGUCUGAGCCAGUGUAGCCCAACUUUUUGCUCUCUUUAGAUGCCAGUUUCUUAAUAUUCAUUUUUCUUAUUUGCUUCUGUAAUAUUCAGGAAAAAAUAAGAGGGACCUUAGAAUGGGCAGAGGGAGAUGUAUACUUCUGCCUAUUGGCAGACAAUAGUAGUUCUCUGCUAUAUUUCAGAACUGAUUUUGAUGUCAAAUCAGAAGACUAGAAAAUGUAUCUUGUUGGCUUAAGGGGUCAUAUUGACUCAGAGCAGGCAGCUUUUGGUAAUGAGUGGGGCCCCCUGGAAAGUGCAUUUAUUCAUUCUUCACAAAGAAGUUAUCAUUCUAAUUCGGCAUGGGUCUUUAACCUUUCUUGCUUUGUCCUGCCAGGACUCCCAAGAAGAGUCUAGAAAAAAUAGGAUUGCAUCACAAUAUUUGAUCAAGUAUAAAUUGCAUUCAGUAAAAGCAAAAUAUCACAUUGGUGGAGAGAAUUACACACACACACACACACACACACACACACACACACACACACACACA